GGCCCAGUGCGGGGUUCCAUGGCCGGCCGGGGCUGCAGCCGGUCGGGGAACCCGGCUCGAGCCCAGGUUCCGGCGGUGCUGUCCGGAAGGGCGACGCGCUCGGCCGGCCUGCCGGCCUCCCCAGCCUGCUGCGCCGCUCGCCCGAUCGCGCCAGCAAAGCCCGGGCGAGCGCGCCCGGCCCGACGCCGAGACCCGGGCCCUGCGGGAAGGACCGGGGCUCGCCGAGGCCGGGCUCCGGGGCAGCGCCGGUUCUCCGCUCCGAGGCCAGGCCCGCCCCGGCGCCCUGACUCCGCGCAGCCCCUCUGGCGCGCAGGCGGUCGCCGCAGCCCCGCUCCCUGCGCGAGUGAACGGAGGCGCCGAGCUAGGGGCUGGCGUCCACCCCUCGCCUCCCCGGGGCUCCCCAGGGCGCCCUUCUAGGAGAGAGAGCCAACGAAGAGUGGUGGUGUAAAAUUCAAAGCGAAAACACAAUUUACAGUGUUACAGCUUCACGAACAUUACUUUAAAAUACAGGGUAAUUGUAGAGGAUGUGAGUAUUUACUUGUAGAACAGUACCGGGAUGAGGGGAGUUGCUCUCCGAUUGGACCUGCGCGUAAGUGCCUGAUAACCCCAAGCUGAAAAAAAGAAGAAAGGAGGUGAGCAGUGAGAUAGAGUCUGAGAGGAAGAAUGAGAGAAAAAAAGAAGGAAGCAGGAAACUUUUAACCUUGCUUGGUAUUUUAGGAGGAAUUCCAAAGGAGCUUGCUUUCACCAGAGGAAAUGCAUUCCGAAUCUGACUAACGUGGGUAUGGACCAAAUUUCUGUGAUAUUAGUCUGUGAAAACAGAAGUCUACUUCGAGAAAGAGAGAUGUUCAACUUGGCUCAAUUCAGAUCUUAUCUCUGUUGGUGCAACUUGCUCAUUCCCGUGAAACUUUGGCACACUUAGACGAGUCAAAAAUCUGCAUGAUUGAUCUGCUAACACAUCUGCACCAGCAACCUCAAACAUAAACGUGAAGGAUGUCAUGAGGAUGUGCUCUUAACUUCUUGGAAGAAAUGAGUUAGACAGAUGAGUGCAUAUAUGGAAAGCAUACAGGCAUUUGGCUCUGAUGUAAGGGAAUUGGUCAACCACUGCCUAGGGCAGUUUAAGCCAGUUCAAAAGUUCCUCCUCCUCUGUGUAUUUUCAUUCUACAGUAAAUAAAAUACUUUGUUUUAUAGUUUUGUUGAUCUGGCAAAGAGCUUUGAAAAUUCCAGUUCUCACGAGGCUCUACUAGAAGAGCCACCAUUCCACAGAGCUGAGGCCUCCAUCCCAGAACAUCUUCUAAGAUUUGCUUCUUGUGCCCAAACUGUAGCAUGUGGGCCAAACAGGAGCUGGCUCCCGUGUGCAUGUUGUUGAAGUGUGGACUUAGGUCUUUUAUGCUUCACAAACCCGCCCCUCUCUAUCCUUAGGGUCACAGAACACAAACAGGGAAACCCUCACAGCUCUCAGGCCCGCAUCUCACAAAAGGCCAGGACAUUCUGAAGGUCUGCAAUGUCAUUCCCAAAUCCAGAGGCAACGUUCAGGUUCUAAAGUUCAACCUGAUAAGGAAUGCUCUGAAGGGCUCUGGCGGAGGUUGGGUAGGAUGAAAGACUGAGAAAUUAUUCCCCAAAAUAGUUUCACAGGAACCACCAUACGAUUCAACCAUGGGCUAUUUUUUGUUAAAGAACUUGGGUUAGCGGUCUGGUGUCGGUCACUUCUCAUGCCUUAUCCUUUGCAACAUUCAACUAUUGUCUUCAUUUAAUAUCAUUCAGGGCCUCACAGAAGACAAACCUGGGUCUGGGGCUCAUCUCUGAUUUAGCUCACUACCCAGACUGCACACACAUUUCCUUCUAGCUCUUGAAUUUCUGGUAAAGACCUGCUCACCUGACAGGAUACCUUGAGGACUUGGUGAGAUAAUAUAGGACUUAGCUCAUAAUAGAAGCUCUGCUAAGUGUAAAUACUGCUUUUUAUUAGACACAGUGACCAAUGCACCCUUACCCCGGAAGGGCCUUUUGUUCGUUUUCCUCCCAUUGUUGCCUAGUGGCAGCUGCCAUGGGACCCUUAAGCAGGGUCAGUGCUUGACUGAGGGACACUGUUUUAUUCAGAUUUCUUUUCUGCCUUUCCUUCUCCCCGUGGUCACAGACAUACUAGAUUAUGCCCUUGCAACAGCCUUAAACCACAGGAAUGUCGCAGGGUGAACCUGUUACACAUUGUCCUUGAAAAGCUUCAAGCCAGAGGAAUGUCCCAAGGUGUCCCUUGGACCUAGUGCCUUCCAGACCCUGAGUGGCUGGGGCCACAGCGGAAUUGUCCCAGUCACAGUUUGCCCAAGCUCCCUGCCACCUGCUCAGAGAUAAGGAUCGUCAUCAUGGCUUGUUUGCUUGGACACACACAUGCACAAGGACACACACGUGCACACACAUAUCCUUCAGUCUCCUGGCUGUUGUGACCAUGGAAGGGAUGUUAAAGCUUGUAGCUGGGUUACGGCAAAUAGCAGCCUGAAUGAGCAUCUUUAGAGCUGUGUUUCAAAUAAUGCCUUGCACUGUGAUUAACAGAUUCAUGAAAACAUGCUACCUCUGGGCCAGGGGUGCAGCUCAGGGGUGUCACACCUGCUUCGCAAGUGCAAGGUCCUGAGUUCCAUCCAACUACCAAAAAAAAAAAAAGAGCUAUGUUGUAGGAUGAUUGACUUCAGGGACUGUUGCCAGCAAAAGUGCAAUGUCUCACUUGGAGUUAAAUCCUAGAACUACCUGGCCCCACAAAAACAGGAAAGAAAAAGAAAAGGUACAACUUGAAAAUACAGUGGACCCUCGAGUUAUGACCGGCCUUACCUACAAACAACUUGGGUUACAACUGGAAUUUUAGUUUUAACUUAUGACCAAAGUCUUCAGUUACAUCCAGUUUUUAGUUCUGAAAUUGUUGAGACCUCAUGAGCCAGAAGCAGGUCCCAGUGGGCUACAGACUCUCCCAAGGAGAGAAAGGACAUCAGAGAGCCGGACUCCUGAUGUUCUCAUGGAAGGAGACCCUCCUUCCACACAAUAUCCACCUUCCAUUCACCCUCCCUCCCUGCCAGCCAGAGACAUCACGUGACAAAUUCUAGAAUUGUUUUCCUGAAAUCACAAAAUUGAGUUGGCAUCCUCUGCUUGGUCAGUUCCUUGAAUUUAGAACUUUGUCCCCGUGAGAUCCACUAGGCUGAUCUGAAGUGACUCACCCACAUGAGUCAUCAGGCUGCCCUCAGAAGGAGAUGGUUAUCUAGGCUUUGGUGCUACCAUUUUUGCAAAUUGCUGCAAUUCAGUUGCUGAAGAGCCAGACGGUGAGGGAUCAUGCUGACAUCCUCCAAGGCUCCCAAGACACACCUGGAGGAAGACGUAGCCCACAAAGCUGACUCCUAAGAUGUCAUCCCAGGGUGUCUUUGAGGUUUUCAUGGUUUGGGACAGAUUCUCAGUAGUUCAACAGGCCAGGCAUGUCAGGAACCUUCCAGUUCUUACCUGGGGGAAGCCUCUCUGGUGACUCACUGGGUGUGACAUUCCCCAUGGAGUCAGAGUGAAACAACAUCCUAUUAGAGGGCAGAGGGACUUUCCUGCAGCUGAGGGGGAAACAGACAAAACUGGAGUCAUACCCUUGCCCUAGUUUUGAAAUCUUGCUGCCUAUAUGGAAGCAUAUGGAUCUUAGCAAUUUCUCUUUCUAAGCCCUUGUAGAGAAUUACAUUAUGGCCAUGUUUCUCCCUCCAGAGUAACUGAAACAUUCAUAACUAUAAGGCAUCGUUCAGUUGUAAUAAUUAACAUCUUACUUGCAUUCAGUACAAUUCCAAGUUCUACAUAAGUGUGUAAUCUGGAGAUAGGCAAUGUGUAAUUGUUAAGUAAAUAUUUGCCCUCGGUUAUAAGGAAUGAAUAAAGUAGGCAUGGCUGUUUUCCUGCCCUUGUUGUCAGCCAGGGUUGUCUUGGUAUCAGUGGUGUGUGGCCACAGAUGAAUCAGUUACACCGUAACUGUCUGCCUCCAGCAUCGGGUUCUGCCUACGUGUGACCGGCUCAAAACCUUACUGUUUCGAUGCUUGCACUUUGGACUCAGUUCCAUAAACACUAUUGAAGCCUGCUCCUAUGUAACUUCUGAGAACAUUGGCGAAGCCCUGUUUUCUGCUAAAGUCUGGAGUUCCUGCAGGAGGAGUUUGCAGCUAUUAGAAAAACAGGAGAUGAGCCCACAGUCCACUCCUGGCUAUGAGCAGAGUUAGUUCUGUCUCAGUCGGGCCUGAUCUGCGAGUGCUGAACUGGGUUUGGGCCAGUGUGAAGCUUUCUGUCCCUUGGAGAAUGACUUGGUUCUUCCCAAGCCCUCUGAAGCAUCUUGGCUCUCCGGAUCCCAUGAAGAACAUGAGAAACACAAAGCUGGCUCCUGAUUUGUUUUGGUUUAUCAAGAGUCCUGGGGCUGGGUGUAACGGGGACUGGCCGUUUCCUUCUUUGGCUAAAACCACACCAGCUAUUCAAAUGUGUAGCAGUCUCCAACCUGUCCUGCCUGACUGGGCCCUCUCGGUGCCAGUCCGUUCUGCUUCAGGAAAAGAGUCUUCCUCCACAGAUGGACAGAGACUGCAUGUUACCUUCAUGUCUUGUCCUCAAAUUUCAAACACCCCCUGGGCUAAAUCCUGACUUUAGAAUCUGCGCUGGGAGCCUUGUGUGCUCAAGUCCUACAGUCUCAGCUCUGCUGCUCUCUUGUGAGCUGUGGGCCCCGCCAUGGUUCCUGCUCCCCAGGGAAUGUGCAGAGCCUGUCCCCUCCCACUUCCUGUGCAGCUCUGCUCCCCACUGCCCUUGGCUGAUCUAAGGUCUUCCCUCCCCUGGAACCCGAGCCCUGCCUCUUCCAGCUACUUCCUCUCAGCCGCCCCAGAUGGAUGGACUCCUUUUUUCUGAAUGUCUGCAGCGCCUGACUCUGUACUACUGGUGUGAGAACUACAUUGUGAUCUGCAUUUUGAGUUUCAAGGAAGGGUGUCUAAGACAACUAAUGGUUUGCCUAUUGCCAGGCACACCCCCCGUGUCCCUGGUACGGCAGAAGGGACUUCCGAGCUUCGUGACCAAGGGCCAGUCUUCCUCUCCGAACCUCCUUAGGUUUCCUUAUCUGAAGUAUAGAGCACAAGACGAGCUCACAGAAUCAUGUGAACCUCAGAGGAGCUAACACUGGAGAAGAGCUUGAUAGGGUGCUGGCCUACGGCAGACACUUGGGAAAUGUCUCUUGCAGCUCAGGAUCACAGGGGAGCUAGCUCAUUAGUUCCCUCAGGGAAGACAGCUCUGCACAGCACACAGGGCCUUCUCAUGGGUUUGCAGGGACUGUGGAAUGACCUUCGAAACGGUGGCGUUUACCAGCACGCCCUCAGCUGAACUUCAGCAGAGACCCUUGGAAGCCAGCUCAAAAGUGGAUGGAGAGUCCAGACAGGGCUCUGAAUUUGGUAUUUUGAGGGAACUUGCAGGCGUG
ensembl:lncRNA